rnacentral:misc_RNA from 1 species
GACUGAACCCCACAAUUCAUUUAGCUAAGCAAGUUACAAUCUUGAUGAGCUAGUUACAAAAUUCAAUAUAAGUCCAAAGGUGACAAAAAUGAUAUUUAUGGUAGUUAGUGAUUGAGGUCCGUUUUCCAUGGUGGGAGGAGCAGAGUGAGGGAGCAGACGGCCUGGGAGGAGAUGGGAGACUCGCUCACAUAAUACUCACAUUUACUCCCUCUCACAGCUACAGUAUACGUGUAGCCGAGAGAGCAGGUUCCUGAGGGAUGUUUAGGAAACCCCGUGAGGAAAAGCUCAUGAAAGACCCCUGGCGAAGUCGUGAACACUGCGUGGACUGUGGGGUACUAGGGAACUGGCGGGGAAUACUUGAUGGUGGCCUGUUGUGUGCUGUGGUUGGUCAGAGAAAUGUAAUGGGGCGCACAAGUCGUGUGGUGGUUGUCGGGGGCAAGGAGACAGGAAAGACGUCCAUUCUUGAGAGAGCCAUCUUUGCAAAUACCACUGUGGAUAAGCCAUAUAUUCCAACGGUUGAGGACACAUAUGUUGGAAUUGUAGAAACUGAACGUGGAACACGGGAGAAAUUGCGCUUUUAUGACACAGCUGGCCUAGAUAGCCGCAACCGGUGCCUUCCACAACACUAUCAUUCGCUAGCUGAUGGUUACAUAAUAGUGUACUCAAUCAGUGACAACCUCUCCUUUCAACUGCUGACCGAUAUAAAAAAGGACAUUGACAGGCACAGAGAAAAGAAGGACGUACCAAUAAUUGUUUUGGGCAACAAGAGUGAUGUAGCUGCUAGCCACCGUGCAGUUGAUACAACUGUUGCAGAACGAUGGGCAGCAACCGAAAAACUACGUCUCUGGGAGGUGAAUGUUCAAGAUCGUACUCUUCUGCUGGGACCCAUCAUGAACCUAGCCUCUCGUCUUAAUCCACAACCUAGCAAAACUUCAUUCCCUCAGUUGACAAUGGGACGAAAAAACAAAGAUUAAGUUACACAGCUGGGAUGAUGUGCCAAGCUGCAAGCUGUCUCCCAACAGUCUGACUGAUUGGGUUACCAGCCAGGAAGCUUUGCUCUAAUCUAACAAAACCAACACCAGGUCCAUUAGUGUGUCUCCGCGUGAUGGGAGUUGGAGAUGACAAGUCCACAGAGUUAUUGCGCCGGUGUGGAGGUGGGUCCAACUGAUACUGCUGAGGUGGAGGUGCUAACAAAGAUGUAAGGGUCGGCCGAUAAUGAUGGGAAUAAUGGUGGUGAGAAUGUGGGUGGUGAAGGCUACUAAUAGAAUGUAGAUUAUGUCCUAUUGGUGCAUGAUGAUGAUGUGUUGGAUUAUGUUGUAGGCCUCCUGAAGAAUGCAUGCGUGGUAGAGUGGAUGUACGAGGUGGAAUUGGAGGUGGGGAAACAUCUCGUGGGGGUAACUCAGGAGCAUCUGGUGCUUGUUUCACCUGAAACGACAAACGUGCGCCAUUAAACAAGAGUUAUAAAAGAAAAUGACACCAAUAACAUUUACACAUUAUUCACUUAAUUGUUUCCCAUAGCCGAGGGCAAAGCCUGUAAAGCUUAUCAAGGUUUCUCUAAACCAAUUACUGACAUCCUGCAGGAUGCAACCAACAGCAGUUGCCUAUCUCCUGGGUACUAACUAAUAAUUUAUCACUGCACUGAAGUCAACUGGCCCUCAGGUAAGAUAAUUACCUCCAAAGGGAAGACUGGUGUUAUAAAAAUAUAUUUAUCCAGGCUUGUAAGAGGGUUGAAAAGGUAAUACUGAAUGUAAUUGAGAUGAAUGAUAAAACAUGCAGUGAAAAAGCAAAGAUUCACAUUACUGUUUACUAUAACAACCCUCGUACAACUUCCUGUAUGAGGCCUCCUUAUUACGAAAGAAAGAAAAAAACAUUUCUGCCUCUGACAAACUGAUGUGUACUAAUGUAGUACUAAAUAUAAAUGCAAUUCUAGAGACUCUGCUCUCCAAAAUACAUGCUAUAUUGGACACACUGAGUGAACACACUUCAUUUGAAGGAAGGAAUUACCCACACCAAACCUUGACAUCACAAUGCUCUCCUGAAUUAUUAGGACAUAAUAAAGGGCACCACAAUCAUCGCACACACACCAGUGACCAAAGGAGGUUAUGAACAUUUGAGGCAAUCUUCAUUCGUGAACUGGUCCUAGUAAUUACCAUUCGAAUAAAUUUAACAUUGAGCAUCCAACUGUUUCACGGUUCUUCUUUGACCCAGACGGAAGAUACUCGUCAUGUUAAGACAACAAUCACCUGACCGUUUACUGUACUUUGUUGCUCUCUACAAUUAAGGACUACUUAUUCCAAGGAAUGAGUAUGAUGGGAUUAGGUGAACCCAACUUGUACAUGUACAAUAUACCAUUCCAAAUUAUUAUUUUAUACUCAUGUUCUAUGUACCAUGUAUUUACUCCUGAAGAUUUCAUGUUACUAUCUAAAUAAAAAUGGAAAGAC